UAAACUGCAAAAAGUACCCUCGUGUUAUCUUGAAAUAGCAAAAACCCCCCUGUGAUAAAUAAACUAGCAAAAACCCCCCUGUGAAAUUUUUUUAAUAGCACACUCGGUCCAUUUUGAUUUUAAUAGUUGACCGAAGGUGAAAGGACAUAUAUACCCUUCAGUAAAAAAAAAUAUAAAACAGAGGCCAAAUUGAAUUCAAAAAUGAAAUAAAGGUAAAAUUGCAAUUUUAUGCUAAAUUUCUGAAAAUUAAAUUAGGGACUUGAUUGCAAUUUCCACAAAAAACACGGCUCCACCACCAGCACACAUCCUCCUCGGCCACCGCCUCAUCCCUCUGCAUCAUCACAAACUCCCUUCUUUUUUUUUUUUGUUUUUUAAUUUCUUUAAAAAAAAAAAAAAAAAAAAAAGAAGUCAUCUUCUUCCGUGUAUCUCGUCCCCCACCUCAAACAACAUUUCAUCCACCAUUUUCUCCAGCCCUCCACGCCUGCUAUGCCACCUCUCCAGCCCUUCGUCUGCUUCUCCAGCCCUCGGUAGUUGCUCCGCCGCCACAUUUACCAAAUCAAAAAGUUUAUGAGGAGAAUUUGCAACCGGAGUGGUGUGAAUAUGAUUUUCAGAUUUUUGAGGUGAAGAAGAGGAGAGGAGAGGGGCUAUUGGGGAGCAGCCCAUGGUGGAGUGGGGGUGGGGUGGUUGGAGGCCACUGGAAUUGGGGCUGGAGAAUUAGAGGGGCAAUUAUGUCAUUUUAGGUCUCAAAUCCAUUUUCACUCGCAUGCAUCCGCGAGUGUGCCACACGCAAGUGUACUAGGGAGGUUUUUGCCCUUGAUUAAAUUUCAUAGGGGGGUUUUUGCUAAUUUAUUUAUCACAGGGGGGUUUUCGCUAUUUCAAGAUAACACAGGGG
rnacentral:lncRNA from 1 species